AUCGCUUCUCGGCCUUUUGGCUAAGAUCAAGUGUAGUAUCUGUUCUUAUCAGUUUAAUAUCUGAUACGUCCCCAUCGGGGGACUAUACAUAUUAAAUGGAUUUUUCGAACAGGGAGUCGGAAGCGGGGCUUGCUCGUCCGCUCCACGCAUCGACUCGUAUUGCAGUACCUCCGAGAACGGUGCACCCUCU
rnacentral:snRNA from 1 species